CGUAGGGUGCAAGCGUUGUCCGGAAUUAUUGGGCGUAAAGGGUUCGUAGGCGGUCUGUCGCGUCGGCUGUGAAAUCCCGAGGCUCAACCUCGGGUCUGCAGUCGAUACGGGCAAACUGGAGUGUUGCAGGGGAGACUGGAAUUCCUGGUGUAGCGGUGAAAUGCGCAGAUAUCAGGAGGAACACCGGUGGCGAAGGCGGGUCUCUGGGCAACAACUGACGCUGAGGAGCGAAAGCGUGGGGAGCGAACAGG
rnacentral:rRNA from 1 species